rnacentral:rRNA from 1 species
UACGGAGGGGACUAGCGUUGUUCGGAAUUACUGGGCGUAAAGCGCACGUAGGCGGAUUUGUUAGUCAGGGGUGAAAUCCCGAGGCUCAACCUCGGAACUGCCUUUGAUACUGCAAAUCUCGAGUCCGGAAGAGGUGAGCGGAAUUCCUAGUGUAGAGGUGAAAUUCGUAGAUAUUAGGAAGAACACCAGUGGCGAAGGCGGCUCACUGGUCCGGUACUGACGCUGAGGUGCGAAAGCGUGGGGAGCAAACAGG